ACAGAGGGUGCAAGCGUUAUUCGGAUUUAUUGGGCGUAAAAUGUUAGUAGGCGGUACAUUAAGUCUAAAGUUAAAUUGCUUAGCUCAACUAAGCCUCGCUUUAGAUACUGAUGAACUAGAGUAUGUUAGAGGUUAAUGGAAUUCCCGGUGUAGUGGUGAAAUAUGUAGAUAUCGGGAGGAACUUCAGAAGCGAAGGCGAUUAACUGGGGCAUAACUGACGCUGAGGAACGAAAGCGUGGGGAGCAAAAAG
rnacentral:rRNA from 1 species